GUAAGUCUUCUCAGUGCUUUUCGGGUCUGUUUCCUAAUGCACAUUCUCAUGAUUUCUAUCAAUAAUACCACGGGAACCGAGGAGGAUAUACAGAGGAAGCGAAGAUACUUAUCUCUGGUAUCCCACGUGGAAGACAGAAUGCAUUUGCCAAAGACACAGUGCCAUGCAAGCUGUGACCCUGGACAAGUAACUUUUUCUUGGCAAUUUUUAUCUUUAAGAAAAAAACAAUAAAUAAUGCUCCUUAGGUAUGAAAUUUCAAAAUGUGUGAUAAGUGCAAGUGAGGUUGGAUGGGAGGCUUCUCCCACUCCAUUAGCAGAAUUAGGGCUUGUGCCUGAGGAAGGGUUGAGGUGGGGUCCAAGUCUGCUCCAAUCGGUGGAGUCAAGGGGACAGCAGUUGUUGCCGUGGGAAGCCAUGGUACCACAGACUCACUGAGUCCAAGCCACAAGAGCAGGCUAUAGGCCACGAACACAGGGAAGGCCCAGUUGGUGAAGACAGUCAAGAGUAACCCAUUAUUGCUCUGGUAGAUGCAAUCUUCUUCUCUAAGGAAGGCUGGAUGAUGACACUAGAGACCAUCCACAGCAAUACGGCUACUUGUCUUUAAAAGAAAACUGAAAGACUGCAGGUGGCCUUUGGCUCACUGCAUGAAGGUGAUGUCUUAAUAAAGACCAGUAGAGUUACCACUAUUUGAGCAGCAGUUUGUAUGCUGGUAGCAAAAUGGUUUAACUUAGCAAUGUCGUGAGAGAUGAAAUGCAUGAUUAACGUGAAUCCUGAUUGUGGCUUUUACACACCAGCAUAGAGUUAUGAUUCAAUUUUGUAAACAAAAGCUGUCUUAAAUGGCUUCUAAAUAAGUUGGUAACUCACUUGUGUGUGGAACUUUUUUUAAAAAAUGUGGUAAAAUCUCAUGAAGCAACUCUUCUAUCUUCUAAUCCGUGUGUAAUGCAAGGAAAUUGAUGUAUAAUUCCUCACUAGAGGUACAGUUCUUUCUUCUAGUGUCUUCUUGAAAUGAAUCAUUAAUGCUGUCUCUAAAUGAAGCAGAUGCUCAGUUUCCCAGGUGCCUAAAAAUGUUUGAGAAUAUUGUCUGCCUUAUGUAAUCCAUUAAAAAGUUUACACAUUUCUCACUGACUUUCAUUUCAUUUCCUCUCUUUUGGCAUUAUUUAUAGGAAAUUACAGCAGAUACAUACUAAGGAAGUAAGAAUUUUCCAACCCAAAAAUGAGUAACUUGCUAAUAUUUAUUUAUGUUGUAUUUCUAGUCUAAUGCUGUUUUUAAAAAGAGCUUAAAGAGUUCAUUCUUUGAUAAGCUAUAGAGUUUGCUUUAAAGUGUUACUAGCUAUGCCAGCCACAGCAAAAUGAAGAGCGUAACUUGCAAUGUUCACAGAUAAUGUGAUAUCCUAGGACUGGGGUCCCAAACUCAAACAUGUAUUACCUAUAAGAGCCAGGCAAGCAACAGGAGUGAAUGAAGCUGACUGGAUGAAUGACCACAGGGGAUGCUGAGGGCUGUGCCAAAUUGGGGAGCAUAUUCCAGGUAACCACUGGCAUGCGGGCUCACGGGCACAGACCUUCCAGCUCGUCAGGAGGAGCUGAAAAUCCAGGGUUUUAUGUGAAAAUGUCCAAAUUUUUAGUGUUGAUAAUUUUAAAUAAAGGCCAAACAUAUAUCUGAUGACCUGAUUUGGCCAUGGGCUGCCAGUUUGUGAACUUUGCUCAAACAAAAAAUAGAUAGACAUAGGUAGAUAAAAACUUCUCCAGGGUAUUUAUAAAUAUAUUUUAUUUGGCUAGCGUGAAAAUAACUAAAAUCCAGUAGGCUUUUUUAGAUUUCUAAGUGAACCUAUUAAAUAUUUUACUGUGCAAAUCUUAAGGUUUUCUUUAUAUAAUAUUAUUCUUAAGGCCUCACAAAUUAAGUAUCUCUCAAUACAUAGGAGAACAAUGAACCAAGGGAUGACAAAAUGGCUGGGAACCAUUCAAUUAAACUCUAAAAUAUCCACAUUCAGCCAGUAGAUUUGGAAACAUUAUGGGGCAACAAACCCAAAACCAUUGUUCAGGGUUUCAAAUUAAUGCAAUGCCUUCUCCAGGACUCUGAAAACUCCUUCCCUAUGUAACUAUCCUCUCCACCACUGUGGGAGAACAACUAUAGGACAUGUUUGGAGAAAAACAUACCUAAUACUCAGAUUUUCCUUGGAAGGAAUUUCAGAAUCUCAAAAGGGUCAGACCUAUUGUCUAUCUAGCACCAUGUUUGGGCUGUGAAUGAAUCAAGAAUGGCUAUGAAACCAAGGAUGGUUUCCACAUCACUCAGCAUCUCUAGCUUUUCUCACCAACCUGUCAUACAACCAGCAAGCUCAGAUUAAUGCUAUCUAACUGUUUUCUAAGACUGUCAUCACCCUAUUCAAUCCUUUAGUUAAUAUGUUCCAGAACUUUCCCACCUAACUCAAAUCAUGUAAGAGCAAAAUUUUAAAGUUGAAGGGACCCUGAAGAUCAUUUGCUUCAAUCUCUUAAUUUCCAUUUCAUUGCUGUAAAAUGACAGUUUCAAACUUUAAGUGAUGUAGAUUUAUCAUAGAGUUCUAAGAUUCUAGGAAUAAAUUCUGCUUCACCCCAUGUUUAUGUUUCAUUGUUUUUUAAAUAAUAAAAUAUAACCUAAUGUUUCAAAUAUCUUAUCAGCCAUUUUUCUUUCCAGAAUGGAGUCCUAAUUUUUGUGCUCACUUUCUACUUUAUUUAGGAAAUUAUAUUACCUGUUUAAAAAUCCUAAGAGGCCAAUUAGAACCUUCUAAUAGACAUGUGAUCCAACAGACUCCAGAGAAGCUACAUAUGAGUUCUGCCACUUAUGGGAUGCACAACCUUGAACAAGUUACUCAACGUCUCUAUUCCUCUGAUGUGUCAUCUGUAAAAAUGGCGAGGAUAUUACU
ensembl:lncRNA